UGAAACUAUAGAUGCAAGUUUAUCAAGGCUUCCAUAGUGCAGCGGUAAUCCUCGCACUCUAUGCUGAAGUUCAUGACAUGAAACCAGAUAAUAGCAGCUCUAAAAUGGGCAGCCUUUUUAAGUGAUCUUGUGCUGAAAUCUUUCUCUACAGAAAUCCAAUUACUUGUCACUAAAGGUA